CCUACGGGAGGCAGCAGUGGGGGAUAUUGCACAAUGGGGGAAACCCUGAUGCAGCGACACCGCGUGGGUGAAGAAGCGCUUCUGCGUGUAAAGCCCUAUCAGUGGGGAAGAAAAAGGACGGUACCCAAAGAAGAAGCACCGGCCAAAUACGUGCCAGCAACCGCGGUAAUACGUAUGGUGCAAGCGUUAUCCGGAAUGACUGGGCGUAAAGGGAGCGUAGACGGUUGUACAAGUCUGAUGUGAAAGCCCACGGGUUAACUGUGGGCGUGCAUUGGAAACUGUAGAACUUGAGUAUGAGAGAGGUAAGUGGAAUGCGUGGUGUAGCGGUGAAAUGCAUAGAUAUUAGGAGGAACACCGGUGGCGAAGGCAGCUUGCUGGACGAAAACUGACGUUGAGGCUCGAAAGCGUGGGGAGCGAACAGGAUUAGAUACCCGGGUAGUC
rnacentral:rRNA from 1 species